GGAGGUGUGGUUCAGUGGUAGCGUGCUUGCCUAGCAUGCAUGAGGACCUGGGUUCAAUCCCCAGUACUACAA
rnacentral:tRNA from 1 species